rnacentral:rRNA from 1 species
UAGGGGACUAAAAUGUUUUUUAAUUAAAACCCAAUUAGUAUGGCGGCCAGUAAGAGUUUUAGGGGAACUUACCAGGUAAUUGAUAACCCACAAGGGGACUCACUUAAUUUAAAAAGCUUGCAUACCGCCGUUUUAACUUACUUUUAAAAAAGUAAGUAAAAACCAAAGGGAGUGGUACUUAUCAGGUCAAGGUGCAGCCAAUAGUUAAGGUUUUUAGGCGAGUUACAUUUAAGAAUUUUCUUUCCCCCUCUUCCUUUAAAGGAAGAGGGGGAAAGGACUUAAAAGUAAAAUUUAAGGGGAAAUAUAGUUUGAAUUUUUUUCCUUAUUGGUGC